rnacentral:rRNA from 1 species
UACGGAGGGUGCGAGCGUUGUCCGGAAUCAUUGGGCGUAAAGAGCUCGUAGGCGGCUUGUUGCGUCGACCGUGAAAACCCGGGGCUCAACUUCGGGCUUGCGGUCGAUACGGGCGGGCUAGAGUUCGGUAGGGGAGACUGGAAUUCCUGGUGUAGCGGUGAAAUGCGCAGAUAUCAGGAGGAACACCGGUGGCGAAGGCGGGUCUCUGGGCCGAUACUGACGCUGAGGCACGAAAGCGUGGGGAGCAAACAGG